rnacentral:sRNA from 1 species
UGGGCUCUUCCCGUGUCUUCUUUGGUUCCUUUCAUUCCAAAUUGAGUGUAUGAAACAUUCGUCACAUAUUUUUGGUCCAAGAUCAAACUGUUUUCUCUUCGGAUUUUUAUUCAACAUUUGUCACAUAUUUUUGGUCCAAGAUCAAACAGUUUUCUCUAACGGA